rnacentral:rRNA from 1 species
AUGGUUAGAAGAAGGAGGUGGCGAUCAGCAGCUACUUGGGGGAUCGAGCAGUCGAAGAAGCUGGUGCGUGAGGAAGGCACCGAGUGGAAGUGGUCUUGCUUCAGGCCAUGGGAGGCGUACAGCGCAGACAUGUCGAUCGAUCUGACCAAGCACCAUGUGCCCAACACGAUGCUCGACAAGAUCGCCUACUACACCGUCAAGUCCCCGCGCUUCCCCACCGACAUCUUCUUCCAGGUACUCUUCUGUUAA